AUUUCAAUUUUUCUAUCCAUGACAAUAUAUCUAUUUCCAUUCUUCUAUCCAUUGACAAUAUCUCCAUCGGGCUGAACUGCAUAUCAUAGUUCAGAGGAGUCUUUUUUUCGUGGUCAUGUUUGUCACCCAGGAUGAGAUUCACAUACGUCAUGACCAGUUAUAUCGUUUCACGCUUUAUGAAAAAAGAACUCGCCAAGUAAACGAGAGGAAGUAACUCGUCAAAACAACGAGAGAAAAAACACAGA